UACGUAGGUGGCGAGCGUUAUCCGGAAUUACUGGGCGUAAAGCGCGCGCAGGCGGUUGAUCAAGUCCGGCGUGAAAGCUCCCGGCUUAACUGGGAGAGGUCGUUGGAAACUGAUUAGCUUGAGGCGAUGAGAGGGGUGCGGAAUUCCCGGUGUAGUGGUGGAAUGCGUAGAUAUCGGGGGGAACACCAGUGGCGAAAGCGGCACCCUGGCAUUUGCCUGACGCUCAUGUGCGAAAGCGUGGGGAGCGAACGGG
rnacentral:rRNA from 1 species